GACGAACGCUGGCGGCGUGCUUAACACAUGCAAGUCGAACGGAAAGGCCCUGGUUUUGUGGGGUGCUCGAGUGGCUCACGGGUGGGUAACAAGCGAGUAACCUGCCCUCCACUUUGGGAUAACUUCAGGAAACUGGGGCUAAUACCGGAUAGGAGCUCCGGCUGCAUGGUGGGGGUUGGAAAGUUUCGGCGGUUGGGGACGGGCUCACGGCCUAUCAGAUUGUUGGCGGGGUAGUGGCUUACCAAGGCUUUGACGGGUAGCCGGCCUGAGAGGGUGACAGGCCACACUGGGACUGCGAUACGACCCAGACUACUACGGGAGGCAGCAGUGGGGAAGAUUGCACUAUCGGCGGAAGCCUGAUGCAGCAACGCCCCGUGCGGGAUAACGGCCUUCGGGUUGUAAACCGCUUUCGCCUGUGAUGAAGCGUGAGUGACGGUAAUGGGUAAAGAAGCACCGGCUAACUACGUG
rnacentral:rRNA from 1 species